GACGAACGCUGGCGGCGUGCUUAACACAUGCAAGUCGAACGGAAAGGCCCUGCUUUUGUGGCUUGCUCGAUUGGCGAACGGGUGUGUAACACGUGAGUAUCCUCCCCUUAACUUUGGGAUAACUUCUCGAAACUCCGGCUAUUACCGCGUAUGAUCUCCUGCUCCAUGUUGUGGGUUUGAAAGUUUCGGCGGUUGGGGAUCGUAUCGCGGCUUAUCCGCUUGAUUGUGGGGUUGUGGCUUACCAAGGCUUUGACGGGUAGCCGGCCUGAGAGGGGUGACGGGCACAUGGGGACUGAGAUAGGGCCCAGAAGCCUACGGGAGGCAGCAGGGGGGAAUAUUGCAGAAUGGGCGGAAGCCUGAUGCAGCAACGCCGCGUGCGGGAUGACGGCCUUCGGGUGGUAAACAGAUGUGGACGGUGACGAAGAGUGAGUGACGGUAAUGGGUAAAGAAGCACCGGCUAACUACGUG
rnacentral:rRNA from 1 species